GACGAACGCUGGCGGCGUGCUUAACACAUGCAAGUCGAACGAAGUGGCGAACGGGUGAGUAAUACGUGGGUAACCUGCCCUCCUUUUUGGGAUAAGCCUUGGAAACGGGGUCUAAUACCGAAUAAAGGGGGAUGGGCUCGCGGCCUAUCAGCUUGUUGGUGGGGUGAUGGCCUACCAAGGCGGUGCCGGGUAGCCGGCCUGAGAGGGUGACCGGCAACAUGGGAACGGAGAUACGGCCCAGACUCGGACGGGAGGGAGAAGUGGGGGAUAUGGCACAAUGGGCGAAAGGCUGAUGCAGCGACGCCGCGUGGGGGAUGAAGGCUUUCGGGUUGUAAACCUCUUGCGCUAGAGAAAGGGUAGGUGGAGAAGAAGCGCCGGCUAACUACGUGCCAGCAGCCGCGGUAAUAC
rnacentral:rRNA from 1 species